AGCUAGGAAUGCAAGGCGAAUUGUUUGCCGUCAACCAUUUAACUGGGAUGAUAUAUAACCAUUUUUUUAAGUGGGAGGAAGAAUUAUAUUUUAUAUUUGAAGAUGGCAAGAUCUAUUUUUCAAAAGUCUUUACAUUGGAAAGAACAAGAGAUGAGUCAUUUUCCCAGAGCAAAGGGCAGGAAUCUGUGCCCAGAGUUAAAUAAAUCAAGACGAUGAGUCGAAUCAUGGAUAAAGAAUAGAGGUGCAGGAAGAUGGGGUGACAGA
rnacentral:lncRNA from 1 species